rnacentral:lncRNA from 1 species
CCACAGCAUGUUCACUGACAAAGUUUGAAUGGAACACAGCUAUGCCUAUUCUGUCACAUACUGACCAUGGCUGCUUUUACGCUCCGAUGACAGAGUUGGGUAAUUGUGACAGAGACCACAUGGCCUGCAAAACCAAAAAAAAAAUGCACUAUCUGGCCCAUCGCAAAAUUGUUGGCCUACUCCUCUCAAUAAAGAUCUUUCUCCCAAAGCUAUGGAUCAUAUGGCUAUCCAUAGCCAGCCACAUGGUACAACAAAAAAGCAACCAGGGCUUCAUGCCCAGAUACCUGUGUAAACUUAGAAAGUGAUUUAACUCCCAUAGAGCCUCAUUUCCUCCCUCUGGUCCCUUAUUAUAGAGCUGUUUCCAGCUCUAAAAUUACUUGAUCUCGGCAAGGCCUGAUGUUAGUUGCAAAGGGGUGGGCUGGAUGGCUUAGACGCCCCUUCAUCACGACCACAGAUUGAUGCCUAGGGAAGGGGUCUCUGCAGCAUCGUUGUUCCACAAAAGGAUGUGGUACUGCAUGCUUAAGAGGCAUUCUGAUCCCUAAAAAUCAUAACUCUAUCCACGUGACUUCAUUUUCAAGAUUGUGGCCCCAAUUACAGAAGCCAAGUGAAGCAGACAAUUAGAGGAACUGGCUAAAUGGUACCCAGCUUGGCAAAUGCUCUAUCCUGAAAGUAUAGGAUUGUGAUGUCAAUCAUAGAAGAUGCCUUAAAUCCAUCUAACUGGUGAGGCUCCUUGCUUCACCAGGCAAGCCUCUUUUCAUUUUCCGAAGGGGCAGGACUAAUUUGGGAUGAUCUGGAUAAAUGCCUGGACUGUCCCUUUGACUUGGUUAAUGAAGAUCUGGCCAGAAGCAGCACCCCCUGGCAGCCCAGAUCCAUGUUGGAAAAUCCAACUUGCAAGCAAUAGAUUCUUUUCCUCGUGAGCCUUCGAACACUGUUGACUUCAGUCCUGUUCCAAAAGUCUUGUGAGAAAGAGAAAGCUUGAUGUUUGCCAGAUGAUACUUUUUAAAGCCAAUUUUCCAAGACUUUAAAACCCUUGAGCAGCUGUGGUUAGCACCUAAUCAUAUUCUUUUGUGAAUGGGACGCCUGGUCAAAAUAAUUGGCUGUCACUUAUCCAGUGAGUCUUGUGCAUCAAGAAAAAUCCUGGGCAUUUAAUUCUAACAUUUAUCCAACCUUUUACCCUUCCCAAUAACAAAAGGCUUGUUAACAAUUGUGGUGAGGGAAGUUCUGGUUACAACUGAGAGUAGCGUGAAAUAAAAUCUAUCUGGGCAUUACUCUUUUCUAAGCUUUGAUCUCAUUUUACCUUCCUGAUAGAUCACAAAAGAUCUCAAAGUCAAGCUUAGCCCCCCACCCCCAACAAACCACAAUGCGCAAACAGCCCAAAUUAAUUGGACCCAACCUUGUCUUUAACCAAAGGCGCCUACUGGCCUCUAAGUACCUUUUUCCUAUUUUUCAUCCAUGUCUUGAGGAAGUGUAUACAAGGAUUUUUCCAUUCCAAAUAAGCAAGAAUACAAAAGCAGCAGAAAAAUGAAUUUCACUGAAUUCCUAUCGUAUGAAACUCUGUGAGAAUACUAAGUACGUAAUUACACACUCAACCUUUUGAGGAGGUUCUUGCUCGGGACUGCUAUUUCAGAACACAACGCUUCUCAAAUCAAAGAGGUUCAGCAUUGAGAGGGAUCUCAGAAGAGAGUGGUCCAGCUGCUGUGUACUCCAGAUGGUGGAAGGGAGGCUAGGGAGGGGAGGGACCUGCCCAAAGUGAGCAGGACACUGGUUGGAGGACAGGAUUCAGCUCCUACUUCUCCAUAUGCCCAGUCUCUGUAUAUAUUGGGCUGGUUCCUCUACCCCACCUCCAUUUGGACACCUCAGAAUGGAAAUGAUUGAGUGUUUUUAACACUCACAGCCAUGAGAGUGGGAAGAAGGUGCCCUGAUAUAUUGUCAUGGACACUCUAAGUGAACGUGCCUAUAUUUUCUACCAGUGGGUCUUGCUGGGUCAGACUUUCCUCUGCAACGGGGAGUCUUCUGGUCUUAUUUGCACUACCCAGGCAGCAAAGCCCCGAGCCUUCUAGAAAGCCUGCCAGAGUGAUGGAGGAUUUGUUUUGCCCAAACACCAGAACUCAGCAGAUCCAGAUGAACACUGUUUCCUGAGGAGGAGCUCAGGUGUGAGACAGUGACGAAGGGAACCGAGCACUGGCUGCAGAAAAGAAGGGCUUCUAGGAACACGAACAUGAGCUGAAGGAUGGAGGGCUUUGUCUCCUUUGAGUUCUGCUCAACGUUUAUCCCUGGGUGGACUGUGCAAGGCAAAGGGUCAGAAACAGGGUAAAGGCUACCUGGGGAUGUACUUGCCUAUAUGAAGCAUAUGUAUUCCAGAAAUCUUCAUGUAAACCGAAUCAUAGAUUUACACUAUUUUAUCAGAGAAGGUCUCUGUUAAGUUUUUAAUGCUCCUCAAGUACCAAAGUUGUCUCGCCUUUUCAACUUACACGUUCUCUGGUCCUAGCAUCCCCGGGUUCAUCCACGCCUUCAUGCCUGCAUCAAGUAUUUACUGACAGCUUACUAUGUAGAAAUAUCAUACAAGGACCACUGUGAGAGAAUUAAAUUAGGAACCAGUAUCAGAGAGGUGACUAGAAAAUCCCCAAGUCUUUGUAAAUGAAAUAUUUACUUUGAAUAAACCCAUAAGUCUAGGAAGAAAUCACAAUGGGAAUUAGAUAAUAUUUUGAACUGAAUAAUAAUGGAAAUAUCUCAUUCCAAGAGAAGUAAGGAAAAGGCCAAGCAAUGGUUGUCUUUUGUGAGGAAAAAAUAUGGCAGAAUUAAAUAGCCCUGGGAGUUUGGAAGAUCCUGUUUUAUUUAUGGUGCGGCUAUAUCAUGGGGGGCACUACUACAGAUUUGCUUAAAUGCGGCCACAGAUUCCAAUUUUACAUUUCCCUUUAUACACCCAAUAUGUAGCAUUGAUAUAGGACUUCAGAAAAGCCCACAAGUUGGUCCUCCGUUCAUAUCCUGGGUUGGAUUGCUAGUCGAUACGGAUCCCACACCCCAA